AUCCUGUUUUCCAGCUCCAUUCCAGGCAGCAUCCUCACGAACCAAAGAACGGCAUAAGGGGCCCCUGUUUCCUGAGACCCAGUCAGAGCUCCUAUACUCUCCCACCUUGUUCCUCUGAGCUGACAAAUGACAUCGGAGAGGGGACUAGGUUGGAAGGAAGACAAGGCAUUGCACUCACACGAGGAGGAUUCAGUCUUGGUCCCUAGGGCGAUGGUGAUGAGGAGGAAGAAGGGAAUGGCAGCCAUGGAGAUCUUCAUGCUGUGGGAAGCUGUUGCGGGAGGAGAGCUGGCCUGGUGGGAGCUUCAGAGGCUCCUGCGGUGAGGAAUUGUUGAGAAAUGAUCAUUGAGGCCAAAUAUUUUUUAAAAUAAGGGAGCUGAGACUUGGAAGGGAAGUAGGAAAGCAGUGAUGCCUCAGCAAUGUCAUAUCCUGCACAUGUGUUGUUGGUGGCCUGAAGGAAGCAGGGAGAGCCAAGGUUUAAGGCAGGAAAUGGUCUUCCAUCCCCAGUGGGAAGAAGUUCAACUCUUUUGAUAGAAGCCUUUCCCUAGGCAUGAACAUGAGCACAGGGCUGGGGGCACUGUCUCACACUUAGCAAAAGAUCUCAAGGCUGGAUGUGUCCUGUAUCCAAUUCCAUCUCAGGCCUUAGAACAGGCCACGUGGGGCCUGGACAUUCAGGAUCUGUUCAUCUGGAGACUAGAGGGUGUUUGGGGUAAUGGAAUGAGGCCAGGACUCCCCCAAGUCAGGUCUCAUUGGUCAAGGGAAAUCCUAACUUAAACUCGAAGCAGAACCCGCAGUUCUCAGUCUCAUCUCCAUUCUGGUCACCACACCAUGGAGUGAAGAAGUGCUGUGGUGCUCAGUAGAUAAUUCACUUAUAUAAUGGUUGCUAUACACACAAGCCACUGUCCCAGAUGCCUUAUGAAUAUUAGCCUAUUUAAUCUUUAGAACAGCAGUUGAGGAAACAGGCUCAGAAUCAAAGCCUAAGCUUUUGAUAGUUGGUAAAUGGAACUGGGGUUCAAAUUCAGGUGGUUUGGCUUCCAAGUCUGUGUUCUCACCCAUUAUGCCAUAAAGAAACGUGGGACUCCCAACGGAGCUCUGUAAAAGCUUAUGGGUUUUCUAUAAAGCCUUUAGUCUUAGUCCUUUCUGAAAUCAGAUAGUGGAUCUCUUUGGGACCUUCUCCUGGUUUCUCUGGCUUUUGCUGCAAAGAAGCUUGGUGGGAACCCUAGAAAAUGUCUAAUUCAGGGAUAGCUAGUAGGUUUCAUUGAUUAGUGGUGGACUGGUGCUCUGUGUUGGAAAUGAUUCUGAGGCCAUAUCCAGGCACAUUGGGAAGAUACGCUGUGACCAACGUGCAGUUUCUGUUGCAGUGCAGCUUGCAUGCUAUGUAUUUGCCAUUUGAUUUGUCUAAACUGGCCAUUUACUGAAUGGAAGCUGGGAAUCAGAAAGGACCAGUGACUUUCUCAUGUUCACACAGUGAUUUGGAUGCAGGACAGAUCUCAUCUCUGCAGGCUCUCAGCUUAGUGCCCUCACCAUGCUGUUCUUGGAGGUACAUCCCCCAUUCUGCUUGCUGAUGUGGUUAGAUGGUUAUUUAAUCUCCUCUCCUCAUCUGAAUCAUCAGGAUGGAGAACAUCUAUUAUUUAUCUUUGCCCAUUCACGCAGAACCUAGUGUAUACCAGGUGCUUUAUGAAUAUACAUUUUAAAAGAAGGAUGAAUAAACAAAUUGAGCCAGGUCUACAUAUGUGUAUCUUAUAGGAAAUGGCUGAAAUCUCAUGGUUAGUUGUGGAGACAGUCAUCAAUUAAAAAUUUUCUAUAUUUCUUAUCAUCAAUAACAACAUUAUGUAAACCCUUCAAGUUAAAUGAUAAUAAUUAUUAUCAGGAACAAUCUCAGGAAACAAGUUGUUUAUAGGAAAAGUGAGUUGGAAAGAAAUGAUGCUUACUUCUUGUUUUUGUGGAAACUAGCCAACCUGCCAAGUUGUUUCUAGGAGACUUACAGGAAGUUCCUGUACUUUUCCAGCAAGUAUUGAGUUCCUACCUACAUUAGUCUGUGUGUGCCAACUGCUAUCAUAAACAAUCCAGCAGACUAAUUAAAUAAAAGUUUAUUUCUUGCUCAUGUUACAGUCCAGUGUGGGUCAGUAGUGGGAUGAUGGUGUGUGUGCUGGGAUCCUCCAUGUACUCAUUCAGGAACCAGGCCUUUUUCUACCUUGGAUGCCACCAUUUUCAGCACAAGGCCUCCAAGCUUGAUACAAAAAGGGAGAGGCAGAGGCGGAUUGGGAGAUUUUUGUGGAUCAGUUCUGAAAAUGGUACAAAUUACUUUCACCCACAUUCCAUGGCCAGCAUCAAGUAACCUGGCUCCAACAUAAUGACAAAGGGAUGGAAAAUAUACAUCAUCUGUAUGCUUAGGAAGAAAAAGGAAUAGGUUUUGUGACCAUAUCACUUCUUUGACACAGUAUCAUAUGCCAAGUACUGGGCUAGGCUUGGAGGGAGGGAAUGAAGAUGACCCUGAUCCCAGAGGUCUCAGAACUCAAAGAGGGACUAAAAAAAGUAAAGGAGAAUUGCAAUACAACCAGAUGAAUGAAAUUUGAUGGCAACAUAAUUAGAGACCUUAAAUGUCCUCCUGUUGCCCCCUGUUGAGUAUGAAGAGCCUAUUUUAAAAAUAUUUAAAAUGUUUUUCAAAGCAACACAUACAUAUAUUGGUUUAAAAAAUUGAAUAGUACAGGAAGGAUCUGUAGGACAUAAACCUUCUGAGUUCACGCUUGCCUGAAGAAGUCAUUAUUUAGCCUUCAUACUUGAUUGAUAUUUUUGUUGGGUAUAGAAUUCUACAAUGGAAUAUAAGAAUAUGUUUCUUCUGAAACUCAUUUGUGGUGAUCUGGUGUUUCCCCUCUCUAGAAAAUUUUAGGGUUUAUUCUUUAAUCUUGUUUUCUUACUUUUUGGCACAAAUAGAUGUUCCAGACUCAUCUUGUACUUUCCUUGGCCCAGCUCUGGAAUUAGCCAUUUCUUCCAUGAGUCUCAGUUUCUUUUACUGAAAAAUGAUUUUGAGAAACCAAAAUCUGAGUGCUUGGUGUGUUCAUUGCUAUGGGAAUGGCAUCACUUUUAGAUCUGAGCUUUUAGUGGCUAGAACUUGGAAAUAUAUGUAAGCAUAUGUGUAUAAGUAUGUAUUUAAAUUUAUGUCUAUUUCAAGUAUAUCUAUUUCAUAUAUUAUUAGCAAUUUCUUUUUGUUUUUGUUUUUGAGAUGGAGUCUCACUCUGUCACCCAGGAGUGAGGUGGUGCAUUCUCAGCUCACUGAAACCUCUACCUCCGGGGUUCAAGUGAUCCUCCUGCCUCACCCUCUGGAGUAGCUGGGACUGCAGGUACAGGUCACCUUGCCCAGGUAAUUUUUGUAUUUUUAGAGAUGGGGUUUCGCCGUGUUGGCCAGGCUGGUCUUGAACUUCUGACCUCAGGUGAUCCACCCGCCUUGGCCUCCCAAAGUGCUGGGAUUACAGGCGUGAGCCACUGCGCUCGUCCUAUUAUUAGCAAUUUCUAUGUCCUCUUUCUAGCUAUAUGAAAAAACAAAAGUUUAUACCACUAUGUCCAAUUCCAAGUAAACACCACAGAGUUAUUUCAGUCUUUCCUGUUUCUAUGUUUCCCUCCCUCCUCUAACAAUGGGGACUCCUGCUCCCAUUAACCUCAAUGUAUGUACUUAUUUGCUGAGUUCCCUGUAUGUAACAAAUCUCCUGGCCACACUGGCUGUAUUCUGGCCUCUGGUCCCACUGGCCUCAACCAUGUGCAUCAUCUUCUCUGCCCUGGCCCUGGUUGAGCCCUCAGUUGAGGGGAUGAGUUAUAUUACUUUUAAAUCUUGUCUCUGGUUCUAAAAAGAAUAAAAAUAUGAAUGUUUCUAUUUCCUA
rnacentral:antisense_RNA from 1 species